rnacentral:rRNA from 1 species
UACGGGGGGGGUAAGCGUUGUUCGGAAUUACUGGGCGUAAAGGGCUCGUAGGCGGCCAACUAAGUCAGACAUGAAAUCCCUCAGCUUAACUGGGGAACUGCGUCUGAUACUGGAUGGCUUGGAUUUGGGAGAGGGAUGCGGAAUUCCAGGUGUAGCGGUGAAAUGCGUAGAUAUCUGGAGGAACACCGGUGGCGAAGGCGGCAUCCUGGACCAAUAUUGACGCUGAGGAGCGAAAGCCAGGGGAGCAAACGGG